UGGCGGACGGGUGAGUAACGCGUGGGUAACCUGCCUCAUACAGGGGGAUAACAGUUAGAAAUGACUGCUAAUACCGCAUAAGACCACAACACCGCAUGGUGCAGGGGCAAAAACUCCGGUGGUAUGAGAUGGACCCGCGUCUGAUUAGGUAGUUGGUGGGGUAACGGCCUACCAAGCCGACGAUCAGUAGCCGACCUGAGAGGGUGACCGGCCACAUUGGGACUGAGACACGGCCCAA
rnacentral:rRNA from 1 species